rnacentral:rRNA from 1 species
UACGGAGGGUGCGAGCGUUGUCCGGAAUCAUUGGGCGUAAAGGGUGCGUAGGUGGCGUGGUAAGUCGGAUGUGAAAUCCCGGGGCUCAACCCCGGAACUGACCAUUCGAUACUGCCAUGCUAGAGUACUGGAGAGGAGAUUGGAAUUUACGGUGUAGGCAGUGAAAUGCGUAGAUAUCGAUAAGGAAGACCAGUGGCGAAGGCGGAUCUCUGGACAGUUGCUGACACUGAGGCGCGACAGCGUGGGGAGCAACAGG